UACGGGGGGAGCAAGCGUUGUUCGGAAUUACUGGGCGUAAAGGGCUCGUAGGUGGCCAACUAAGUCAGACGUGAAAAUCCCCUCGGCUUAACCGGGGAACUGCGUCUGAUACUGGAUGGCUUGAGUUCGGGAGAGGGAUGCGGAAUUCCAGGUGUAGCGGUGAAAUGCGUAGAUAUCUGGAGGAACACCGGUGGCGAAGGCGGCAUCCUGGACCAACACUGACGCUGAGGAGCGAAAGCCAGGGGAGCAAACGGGG
rnacentral:rRNA from 1 species